rnacentral:rRNA from 1 species
GUGUCAGCAGCCGCGGUAAUACGUAGGGGGCGAGCGUUGUCCGGAAUCAUUGGGCGUAAAGAGCGUGUAGGUGGACUGGAAGGUCUGGUGUGAAAGCCCGGGGCUCAACCCCGGAGGGUCACUGGAAACCAACAGUCUUGAGUCCGGAAGAGGAGAGUGGAAUUCCUAGUGUAGCGGUGGAAUGCGCAGAUAUUAGGAGGAACACCAAUGGCGAAGGCAGCUCUCUGGUACGUGACUGACACUGAGACGCGAAAGCGUGGGGAGCGAACAGGAUUAGAAACCCGAGUAGUCC